AAUAGAUACCCUGGUAGUCCACGCCCUAAACGAUGUCUACUAGUUGUCGGGUUUUAAUUAACUUGGUAACGCAGCUAACGCGUGAAGUAGACCGCCUGGGGAGUACGGUCGCAAGAUUAAAACUCAAAGGAAUUGACGGGGGACCCGCACAAGCGGUGGAUGAUGUGGAUUAAUUCGAUGCAACGCGAAAAACCUUACCUACCCUUGACAUGGAAGGAAUCCUGAAGAGAUUUGGGAGUGCCCGAAAGGGAACCUUCACACAGGUGCUGCAUGGCUGUCGUCAGCUCGUGUCGUGAGAUGUUGGGUUAAGUCCCGCAACGAGCGCAACCCUUGUCAUUAGUUGCUACGCAAGAGCACUCUAAUGAGACUGCCGGUGACAAACCGGAGGAAGGUGGGGAUGACGUCAAGUCCUCAUGGCCCUUAGUGGGUAGGGCUUCACACGUCAUACAAUGGUACAUACAGAAGGCCGCCAACCCGCGGAGGGGGAGCUAAUCCCAAGAAAGUGUAUCGUAGUCCGGUAUUGUAGUCUGCAACUCGACUACAUGU
rnacentral:rRNA from 1 species